rnacentral:rRNA from 1 species
GACGAAAGUCUGACCGAGCAACGCCGCGUGAGUGAAGAAGGUUUUCGGAUCGUAAAGCUCUGUUGUAAGUCAAGAACGUGUGUGAGAGUGGAAAGUUCACAUAGUGACGGUAGCUUACCAGAAAGGGACGGCUAACUACGUGCCAGCAGCCGCGGUAAUACGUAGGUCCCGAGCGUUGUCCGGAUUUAUUGGGCGUAAAGGGAGCGCAGGCGGUCAGGAAAGUCUGGAGUAAAAGGCUAUGGCUCAACCAUAGUGUGCUCUGGAAACUGUCUGACUUGAGUGCAGAAGGGGAGAGUGGAAUUCCAUGUGUAGCGGUGAAAUGCGUAGAUAUAUGGAGGAACACCAGUGGCGAAAGCGGCUCUCUGGUCUGUCACUGACGCUGAGGCUCGAAAGCGUGGGUAGCGAACAGGAUUAGAUACCCUGGUAGUCCACGCCGUAAACGAUGAGUGCUAGGUGUUAGGCCCUUUCCGGGGCUUAGUGCCGGAGCUAACGCAAUAAGCACUCCGCCUGGGGAGUACCACCGCAAGGUUGAAACUCAAAGGAAUUGACGGGGGCCCGCACAAGCGGUGGAGCAUGUGGUUUAAUUCGAA